AAACUCUUCAAUAGUUCUAUUUGGUACUUCAAAUCCUCCUUUUACAGUACUCUUCAGUACAUUUUGUUGAUCAUUAUCCUUAGUUUCACUCUUAGGCCUUUCGGUUUUCUCUUGUCUCAGCUUUUCUAUUUUGUUCUUCUCAGCAGUCGUCUUGGCUUCCGCAUGCAUCCUUAUAGGUUCUUCACCAUUCUCCUUCUCCACAAAAUUUUCAAUCUCAUUUCCAUUUCUUACGACUGUUGCUUUAUCGACGUACUCCGUUUCUUGUAUCCUCGAAACAUUCAACCCUUUGCUAUCCUCAAGUGUUGCUUUUGGUUCUUGAUCAACAUUCUGAACUUCACUCUUAGCUUUCACAAAGUCAUUCCCUUCAAAUAUGUUUUUCGGAAUAGCCUCAACCGAUAUCCUUUUAGGUUCCCUUCCAUCAAUCUUCCCUUCAACAUUUUCAGUUUUUUCCAUUUGUUGUAUUUCAGAUUCUUUAGACUUAUCUUGGCUUAUACCACCAGUGUUGCUAGGAUCAGCUACAUUAUGAACAUGUUCUGAUGUCUUCAUUGCUGUGCCUUUUUGCACCAUCUCUCCAAUGUUCCCAUUGGCAUCAUCAAGCCUCUUGUCAGAUACCAUUUUUCUCUUCUUCCCGAAAAAACUUUCAUCGUCCUCCGUCUUUAUAACCUGAGACUCUUUAGUUUGGCUUGUAUCUCCAUUGUUCUGUGUAAAACCUGUACCUUCAUUUUGCUCCAUUUCUGGUUUCUUCACUGUUUCAUAUGCUACCAUGCUAACAUUUUUUUCCACACUUUCUACCAUUCCAUCCUCAAUCCCCAACUUAGAUUCUUC
rnacentral:lncRNA from 1 species